UACAGAGGUCCCAAGCGUUGUUCGGAUUCAUUGGGCGUAAAGGGUGCGUAGGCGGCGCGGUAAGUCGGGUGUGAAAUCUCGGGGCUUAACUCCGAAACUGCAUUCGAUACUGCCGUGCUUGAGGACUGGAGAGGAGACUGGAAUUUACGGUGUAGCGGUGAAAUGCGUAGAUAUCGUAAGGAAGACCAGUGGCGAAGCGGGUCUCUGGACAGUUCCUGACGCUGAGGCACGAAGGCCAGGGGAGCAAACGGG
rnacentral:rRNA from 1 species